GACGAACGCUGGCGGCGUGCCUAAUACAUGCAAGUUGAGCGCUGAAGGUUGGUACUUGUACCAACUGGAUGAGCAGCGAACGGGUGAGUAACGCGUGGGGAAUCUGCCUUUGAGCGGGGGGCAACAUUUGGAAACGAAUGCUAAUACCGCAUAAAAACUUUAAACACAAGUUUUAAGUUUGAAAGAUGCAAUUGCAUCACUCAAAGAUGAUCCCGCGUUGUAUUAGCUAGUUGGUGAGGUAAAGGCUCACCAAGGCGAUGAUACAUAGCCGACCUGAGAGGGUGAUCGGCCACAUUGGGACUGAGACACGGCCCAAACUCCUACGGGAGGCAGCAGUAGGGAAUCUUCGGCAAUGGACGAAAGUCUGACCGAGCAACGCCGCGUGAGUGAAGAAGGUUUUCGGAUCGUAAAACUCUGUUGGUAGAGAAGAACGUUGGUGAGAGUGGAAAGCUCAUCAAGUGACGGUAACUACCCAGAAAGGGACGGCGAACUACGU
rnacentral:rRNA from 1 species